AAUAAGUGCAGCCAUGGAUAUCCGUGUUCAACGUUUGACCAUUUGUCUUAUUUAAAAAAAUUAUAAAAGAUUAAUCACACAUAAAAUACUAUUCAUAUUUUAUCAUCUAAUAACAAUAAAAAUAUUAAUCAUAAAAAAAUUUCAAAUAAGAUGAAUGGUCAAAUGUUGGAUAUGAACAGUGCAAAACUGCACUUAUU
rnacentral:pre_miRNA from 1 species